CAACUUUCAGCAACGGAUCUCUUGGCUCUCGCAUCGAUGAAAAUGCGAUAAGUNAAUGUGAAAUUGCAGAAUUCAGUGAAUCAUCGAAUCUUUGAACGCACCUUGCGCCCUCUGGUAUUCCGGAGGGCAUGCCUGUUUGAGUGUCAUUA
rnacentral:rRNA from 1 species